rnacentral:tRNA from 1 species
AGAGAAAUAGGUCAGUGAUAGAGCUCAUGUUUAGCAUGCAUGAGGUCCUGGGUUCAAUUCCUAGUACCUCUG